rnacentral:sRNA from 1 species
AUGAUGUAAAAAAGAAACUGAACAUCAUUAUGUCUGAAAACACUGUUUCUUUUAAUUGAAAAACUCAUAAUGUUGACUGUUGAGUUUCAUCCUUUGUUAAUUGUAUAUGUAGCGGCUACAUGUCUCCCGAAUACGCAAUGGAGGGGAUAUUCUCGGUAAAAUCGGAUGUUUUCAGCUUCGGGGUUUUGGUUCUUGAGAUUGUCAGUGGAAAGAGGAACAGAGGAUUCCACAACUCCGGCCAAGACAAUAAUCUUCUCGGCUACGUAAGCUUAAACCGCUUAAGUUUUUUAUUUUGUCUCGUUCGAUUGAUAACACAAUUUUUUUUAUCUUUAUUAACAGACGUGGGAGAAUUGGAAAGAAGGAAAAGGGCUAGAGAUCGUCGAUUCGAUAAUUGUAGAUUCCUCAUCAUCAAUGUCAUUGUUCCAACCACAUGAAGUCUUAAGAUGCAUACAGAUUGGUCUUUUAUGUGUUCAAGAACGUGCAGAGGACAGACCAAAGAUGUCGUCGGUGAUUGUCCCGUUUUGUACU